rnacentral:tRNA from 2 species
GCCGCCGUAGCUCAGAGGUAGAGCACGUCCUUGGUAAGGACGGGGUCGGAAGUUCGAUUCUUCUCGGCGGCACCA